GCUGGGCUCUGAGCUACCCUAGCUGAGGGAACUGUCCCUCCCACCCUAGGAAGAUAUUGCCACAUCCUGAAGGAAGAUGAAACCACAGGAUCAAGGUGACACGUCAUCCCAAGCUCCUGCAGAAAACGACAGAUGUGUAUUGGAACUUCUUCAGAAAUCCAGCAGGCCCUACAGUCUAUCUGACUGAGGCCAGAGCUGACUGUCCAGCUUCAUUCAGACUACACCAUCCCCACAGGCCCCUUGCCUUUGCCCACCUUGUCCUCCCUCCCUGGCCACUCGCCUACAUGGCCCUCACAGAAUGGCCAGCCUGAAUCCUAGGUGAAUGGAAGACCCUGUCCCAUCCUGCCUCAGGCUCCAAAGUAAGAAAAAACAGGAGGAAGGUCACAUUGCUCA